rnacentral:rRNA from 1 species
ACACUUCUAGCUUCGUCGGCAGCGUCAGAUGUGUAUAAGAGACAGGGAUUAGAUACCCUGGUAGUCCACGCCGUAAACGGUGGAUGCUGGAUGUGGGGACCAUUCCACGGUCUCCGUGUCGGAGCCAACGCGUUAAGCAUCCCGCCUGGGGAGUACGGCCGCAAGGCUAAAACUCAAAGAAAUUGACGGGGGCCCGCACAAGCGGCGGAGCAUGCGGAUUAAUUCGAUGCAACGCGAAGAACCUUACCUGGGCUUGACAUGUUCCCGACGACGCCAGAGAUGGCGUUUCCCUUCGGGGCGGGUUCACAGGUGGUGCAUGGUCGUCGUCAGCUCGUGUCGUGAGAUGUUGGGUUAAGUCCCGCAACGAGCGCAACCCUCGCCCCGUGUUGCCAGCACGUUAUGGUGGGAACUCACGGGGGACCGCCGGGGUUAACUCGGAGGAAGGUGGGGAUGACGUCAGAUCAUCAUGCCCCUUACGUCCAGGGCUUCACGCAUGCUACAAUGGCCGGUACAGCGGGAUGCGACAUGGCGACAUGGAGCGGAUCCCUGAAAACCGGUCUCAGUUCGGAUCGGAGCCUGCAACCCGGCUCCGUGAAGGCGGAGUCGCUAGUAAUCGCGGAUCAGCAACGCCGCGGUGAAUGCGUUCCCGGGCCUUGUACACACCGCCCGUCAAGUCAUGAAAGUGGGCAGCACCCGAAGCCGGUGGCCUAACCCCUUGUGGGAUGGAGCCGUCUAAGGUGAGGCUCGUGAUUGGGACUAAGUCGUAACAAGGUAGCCGUACCGGAAGGUGCGGCUG